CCUACGGGAGGCAGCAGUGGGGAAUAUUGCACAAUGGGGGAAAGCCUGAUGCAGCGACGUCGCGUGAGUGAAGAAGGAACUCGGUAUGUAAAGCUCUAUCAGCAGGGAAGAAAAUGACGGUACCUGAGUAAGAAGCACCGGCUAACUACGUGACAGCAGCCGUGGGUAUUCGCAGGGAGCCAGCGUUAUCCGGAUUUACUGGGUGUAAAGGGAGCGUAGACGGCAGUGCAAGUCUGGAGUUAAAGGCGGGGGCUCAACCCCCGGACGGCUCUGGAAACUGUACGGCUUGAGUGCAGGAGAGGUAAGUGGAAUUCCUAGUGUAGCGGUGAAAUGCGUAGAUAUUAGGAGGAACACCAGUGGCGAAGGCGGCUUACUGGACUGUAACUGACGUUGAGGCUCGAAAGCGUGGGGAGCAAACAGGAUUAGAUACCCGUGUAGUC
rnacentral:rRNA from 1 species